GGAGAGGUCGCAUAGUGGUCGAGUGCUGCGCAGUGCUAAUGCGCCGUACCCGCAAGGGUAUCGAGGGUUCGAAUCCCUCCCUCUCCG
rnacentral:tRNA from 1 species